rnacentral:rRNA from 1 species
ACAUGCAAGUCGAACGGUAACAUUGGUGCUUGCACCAGAUGACGAGUGGCGGACGGGUGAGUAAUGCAUAGGAAAUUGCCGAUUAGUGGGGGACAACAUGUGGAAACGCAUGCUAAUACCGCAUACGCCCUACGGGGGAAAGAUGGCCUCUUCUUGAAAGCUAUCGCUAAUUGAUGUGCCUAUGUCUGAUUAGCUAGUUGGUGGGGUAAUGGCCCACCAAGGCGACGAUCAGUAGCUGGUCUGAGAGGAUGAUCAGCCACACUGGGACUGAGACACGGCCCAGACUCCUACGGGAGGCAGCAGUGGGGAAUAUUGGACAAUGGGGGCAACCCUGAUCCAGCAAUACCGCGUGUGUGAAGAAGGCCCGAGGGUCGUAAAGCACUUUCAAUAGUGAAGAUUGGUGUAGAUAUUAAUACUAUUUAUACUUGACGUUAACUAUACAAGAAGCACCGGCUAACUCAGUGCCAGCAGCCGCGGUAAUACUGAGGGUGCAAGCGUUAAUCGGAAUUACUGGGCGUAAAGCGCGCGUAGGCGGUAAGUUAAGUUGGAUGUGAAAUCCCUGGGCUCAACCUAGGAACUGCAUUCAAAACUGGCUCACUAGAGUAUGGUAGAGGUAAGUGGAAUUCCAGGUGUAGCGGUGAAAUGCGUAGAUAUCUGGAGGAACAUCAGUGGCGAAGGCGACUUACUGGGCCAAUACUGACGCUGAGGUGCGAAAGCAUGGGUAGCAAACGGGAUUAGAUACCCCGGUAGUCCAUGCCGUAAACGAUGUCAACUAGCCGUUGGGCCCGUUAGGGUUUAGUGGCGCAGCUAACGCAUUAAGUUGACCGCCUGGGGAGUAC